UCCUUUGACACGAAAACUGCAGAUUCAUGAAAGUCUUGAGCGGGGAAUAUUUGUUGCUAGGUUAAAAGAAGAAAUCGUUGCCUCUCCUGAGCAAAUCCUUGAACUUAUGGAGUUCGGUAAAUCUCAUCGACAUAUUGGGGAGACGAAUAUGAAUUUGUACAGUAGCAGAUCACAUACAAUUUUUCAUAUGGUAAAGUUACUAAUCUUUCUGAUAUCCUAAUUUUUAUAAUUGUGCAAUCUUGUACGCUUAUUUUCCAUUUGCAUAGAUUAUUGAGAGUAAGGAGAGAAGUGAAGAUGAAGAUAGUGGCAGUUCUUGUGAUGCUAUUCGUGUAUCUGUUUUGAACUUGGUGGACCUUGCUGGUUCAGAGCGUGCUGCGAAGAUGGGUGCUGAAGGUGUUCGUUUGAAAGAAGGUUCUCACAUUAAUAAAAGCCUAAUGACACUUGGAACUGUCAUCAAGAAAUUGAGUGAAGGUGCUGAGAGUCAAGGGUAUGGAGGAGAGCCUUCAAGAACAGGACAAGAUAAACACAAAAUGCAGUUGGUUCUCAUUUAUACCCUCAGAAUCCAGUCCUCCGCCUUGGAAGUCAGCUCAACUUCAGUGUAGAAGGUUGGUGUAUGAUAAAAUUUUACAUUAAUUUUUAGUUGGUCACAACUAAAACUCACAAAUCCAUUUCGGAAAUCUAGAUCUAAAAGACAACAUUGAAUUAAUGUUUAAAAAGCCAUACUAAUUGUAUAUGUCAGGUAGAAAUCUUAGUCUGAAAUUGAUGAAUAAUUCAAAUGCUAUUUUUUUUUGUCUGAAAUCUAUACUAAACCAUUGGAACAGCUUAGCUCAGCUAACUCUAAUCCUUAAGUUGGAUAUGCCCAGUAGUUGUAGGAAUGCCAUCAAGGAUUUAUCCGUUGGGUUAAGCUUGAAAGCUCAAACAUUGAGUGUUUAUAUUUAAGAGCUUCUUCCUUCCAUGCUAUUGGAGAAUAUAGAGAAGCGGUAUUAGGGAU